rnacentral:tRNA from 1 species
GAGGGUAUAGCUCAGUGGUAGAGUGCGUGCUGCGCAUGCUCGAGGUCCUAGGUUCAAGCCCCAGUACCUCCA